AAUAUAUAAAAAAAUCCCUUACUAUAUAUAAUUAUGGUUGCUGUUUUAGACCUUACCGCCUAAGCUCUCCAAGUUAGAGAUCCAAGACCUAGACACAGAGCUUGGAGCUGGAAGCACACCUGUGGAUGGAGCAGCACCCUCCGAGGCCCUGUGGGGGAGGACAGGGCAUCUUGUGACAUGACCGCCACAAUUAACUGGGAAGUCUUGAUGUGAGAGACAAGACAGAAUGGAUGAAACAAUUAGAGAACAAUGUCAAUUGGAGAUAAUUAACAAUGGUGUCAUGCUAUAAAUCAGACCUCAAAAUAACUACAUACGUGCCUAAAAAUAGAGCUCAGGAAAAACCAGAUGGCUUAGAGUCUAGUGAACAACAGCUCAAAGGGGAAUACAGGCAGAAAACAGAGGACAGUUCCAAAAGAGAGACUCGGUGCUUAUGUCAGUGGAAGCUGAGCAUCAGAAGACACUCUUUUUUGGGUCACAGAAGUUUAACUGGGAACUCAGCCAGAACUGGGACCAGAAUCGAGGCCCCAGCAGAAGCACUGCUCUGGCAUUCAGGAAGAACAGCUUGGCCUAGUGAAGAAGUGGGCAAAGAAGAGUGGGACUUUGCAGGAGUCGGGCAGAAAUCAGGAAGACGGUAGAUGAAAAGAGACCUGAGUCAGGAGACUGGACAGUGCUCUCCACACCAUGGGAGCUGAGUCACCUGAACCUAGGCUCCAUCAACUAUGACCACCUGCCUGUUGACGCACUGUACCCUCGUCAAUUAUCACCUGGAGGAAACUGUUUUCAUCACCGUUAUCCCAAAGACUGGCCUGUGUGUGUGUUGCUAGCAUGACGAUGACUUCUCGGGGUGAUAGACUUUCGGCCAAGGGCAGAAAGAAGAAUUUCAGGCUCUUCAGGAGAUGAAAGCAAGGGCACAGAGGUCUGUGCUGCUGCCCAUGCUCUGGACGCCCCUGCCGUGAGCAACAGUGCUAAUUAAAUUGGCAUUCCUUAUCGCCACCGAUGUAGUUCCUUGGGAACAUUCCUAUUUUGACAUAUCAGUUUGUCCCUGUAAUAAUAUCACUGUCUUUUUGGUAAUCCUUUCCCUUAUAUGACCACCUGCCGUGGCCGCUGAAGGGGGGCAAUUUGGCUCGUCCCGUCAACUCUACCUUGCCACAUAUCCUGAAUGCGACCACAUGUCCUACUCUGCUCCCU
rnacentral:lncRNA from 1 species